UCUUAGCUUGCUAAGGCCGAUGGCGACCGGCGCACGGGUGAGUAACACGUAUCCAACCUGCCGUCUACUCUUGGACAGCCUUCUGAAAGGAAGAUUAAUACAAGAUGGCAUCAUGAGUCCGCAUGUUCACAUGAUUAAAGGUAUUCCGGUAGACGAUGGGGAUGCGUUCCAUUAGAUAGUAGGCGGGGUAACGGCCCACCUAGUCUUCGAUGGAUAGGGGUUCUGAGAGGAAGGUCCCCCACAUUGGAACUGAGACACGGUCCAAACUCCUACGGGAGGCAGCAGUGAGGAAUAUUGGUCAAUGGGCGAGAGCCUGAACCAGCCAAGUAGCGUGAAGGAUGACUGCCCUAUGGGUUGUAAACUUCUUUUAUAAAGGAAUAAAGUCGGGUAUGGAUACCCGUUUGCAUGUACUUUAUGAAUAAGGAUCGGCUAACUCCGUGCCAGCAGCCGCGGUAAUACGGAGGAUCCGAGCGUUAUCCGGAUUUAUUGGGUUUAAAGGGAGCGUAGGCGGACGCUUAAGUCAGUUGUGAAAGUUUGCGGCUCAACCGUAAAAUUGCAGUUGAUACUGGGUGUCUUGAGUACAGUAGAGGCAGGCGGAAUUCGUGGUGUAGCGGUGAAAUGCUUAGAUAUCACGAAGAACUCCGAUUGCGAAGGCAGCC
rnacentral:rRNA from 1 species